rnacentral:rRNA from 1 species
AUUAAAUAAUUAUAAAUUAGGGUUUAAGUUAGUAAUUAAAAUAAUAUUAAUUAUUAAUUAAUUAAAUUAAUAUAAAUUUAAGUUUAAUGGUAUCUUAUAGAUGAUUAGUAUUGAUAAAUAAGUUUUAUUAUUUUUAUGAAAGUAAAUUUUUUAUUGUAUCUUGUGUAUCAGAGUUUAUUAGAAUUAUAUUUAGUAAAAUAUUUUUCGAAUUAAAAGGAGCUAAAAUUUUAAUAAAUUUAAUGUUGGAUAAUUAUUUUAAAUAUAAUUUUAGUAAUGAUAAGUUAUUCGACUUUUAAGAUAUCUAAUUUUUUUAGAAAUAAAUUUAAUUUAUUAUUUAUCUUUAUAAUUAUAUUUAUGUUAUAUAUAUAUAUAUAUAAUUAAUAAGAUAAAUUUUACUAAUUUUAGGGAUAAGCUUAAAUUAUUAAAUAGAUAUAAGAUAUAUUAUAUUUAAAAAAAUUUUUAAAAUUUAUAUUGUUUAUAAAUUAAAAUUUUUUAUAAAUUAUUUUUUUGUAAUUAAAAUUUAAUUAAAUUUAUGUUUAUAUAAAAAUUUUAUUAAUAAUUUAUUUUAAUAAGUAAUAAUGAUAAAAUUAGUAAAUUUUUAAGUAAUUUAGAUAUUUAAAAUUGACAGGUAAUUAAAAAGAAUUCGGCAAAAAUUUAUAUUUACCUGUUUAUCAAAAACAUGUCUUUUUGGUGUUAAUAUAAAGUCUAAUCUGCCCACUGAAUUUUAAAGGGCUGCAGUAAUUUGACUGUACAAAGGUAGCAUAAUCAAUAGUCUUUUAAUUGAAGACUGGUAUGAAUGAUUGGAUAAGAUAUAAACUGUUUCUUAAUUAAUAAUUAAAUUUAAUUUUUUAGUUAAAAAGCUAAAAUUUUUUAAAAAGACGAGAAGACCCUAUAGAGUUUACAUAUAUUUAAACUAUUGAUUAUUAGUUUAAAUAUAUUUUAUUGGGGUAAUAAAAAAAUUUGAAAAAUUUUUCUUAAAUAAUUUCAUAAGUAAGUGAGUUGAGGAUCUUUUUAUUUGAUUAAAAGAAUAAAUUACCUUAGGGAUAACAGCGUAAUUUAAUUUUUUAGUUCUUAUAGAAAGUUAAGUUUGCGACCUCGAUGUUGGAUUAAGAUAAAAUUUAAAUGCAAAAGUUUAAAAUUUUGAUCUGUUCGAUCAUUAAAAUCUUACAUGAUCUGAGUUCAAACCGGUUUAAGCCAGGUUGGUUUCUAUCUUUUAAAAUUUGAAAUAAUUUA